CAUUAAGAAGCUAAAACAGCACUAGCCUUUUAAGCUAGAGACUGAGGGUACAAUACCCUCCUUAAUGA
rnacentral:tRNA from 1 species